rnacentral:rRNA from 1 species
GUUCGAACGCGGUUAGUAGCAAUACUAACUGAGUGGCAAACGGGUGAGUAACACGUGGGUGACCUACCUUCGAGUGGGGGAUAACGUCCCGAAAGGGACGCUAAUACCGCAUAACAUCCUGUCCUUGAACGGAUGGAGAUCAAAGCCGGGGAUCGCAAGACCUGGCGCUUGAUGAGGGGCCCGCGUCUGAUUAGCUAGUUGGUGAGGUAACGGCCCACCAAGGCGACGAUCAGUAUCCGGCCUGAGAGGGCGGACGGACACACUGGGACUGAGACACGGCCCAGACUCCUACGGGAGGCAGCAGUGGGGAAUUGUUCACAAUGGGCGCAAGCCUGAUGACGCAACGCCGCGUGGAGGAUGAAGGUCUUCGGAUUGUAAACUCCUGUUGCUCGGGACGAAAAGCUUCGACCUAAUACGUCGAGGUCUGACGGUACCGAGUGAGGAAGCCCCGGCUAACUCUGUGCCAGCAGCCGCGGUAAUACAGAGGGGGCAAGCGUUGUUCGGAAUUACUGGGCGUAAAGGGCGCGUAGGCGGCCCGCUAAGUCGAACGUGAAAUCCCCGAGCUCACUCGGGGAACUGCGUCCGAUACUGGCGGGCUUGAAUCCGGGAGAGGGAUGCGGAAUUCCAGGUGUAGCGGUGAAUGCGUAAAUUUCUGGAGGAACACCGUUGGCGAAGGCGGCAUCCUGGACCGGCUUUGACGCUUAGGCGCGAAAGCUAGGGGAGCAAACGGGAAUUAAAUACCCCGGUUGUCCUAGCCCUAAACGAUAAAGGCUU